rnacentral:lncRNA from 1 species
GGAAAGAAAAAAACCAAGAACCCUAGGUGAGAAAAUUGAAGAAAAAGUGUGGGAUUUCAAGGGAUUAAGCUAAUAAAGGUAAAAUUUAUUGAUUUUGACUUGUGAUUUACACUACCCAUGCUUUCUUUUUCAUUUUUCAUGAUUAGAUUUCAUGUUUUCAUGGUGAAUUCAUGGCUGGUCAAAAUGGGUAUGGAGAGAGAAAGAUGUUGGAUUGAUUUGAUUUUAAGUUAUGUUAGUGUUUUUAGUUAGUUUAGCAUAUUUAGAAACAAAACAAUAAGAAAAGAAUUCAUUUUCCCCCAUCACCAUCAUUGGCCGAAUUUUCUAGGGAAGAUAUUGUGGUUGAAAUUGAUGAUAUUUCAUGAUAUUUGGGUGAUAUUUGAUGUUUGGUGAGGCUAGAAAUUAAAUGGGAAAUUUUGGUGUGAAAAUCUGAAUUUUUACCUAAUGUAUAGACAUGUGUGAUUAUUGACCCGAGACUGAUAAAUUGAAUCUCAUUCAUAGUCAUUGAGGUAAUUUAGGUAUAAUUGGAGUGUAAAAAGUGAGAAAAAUUGAUUUAGAGUUAAAUUGGAGAUUUUAGCCGAUUAGGCCGAGUAUAUUGUGACUUUGGUCGAAUAUCACAUUUAAGUGAUUAAUCAGACAUUUUGCAUCCCAUCGCAUGCAUUCAUUUAGAUUUAGAGAGUCUGAAAUAGUUUACGAUAAAUUGACAUAAUUUAUUGAAAUUCGUGUCACGUAUGAUGUAUAGGUGGUGAGCUCUCUAACAAGGGUAAAGAGAUUGUGCCCGAAGACUGAGAAUAGGAGUAUAUCAAACUCCUAGUACUGUGAGUAACCUUACUAUCAUUUUAAUUAUCUAAAGUAUGUUGUUAUUCGGUUUUGGUGAAAUUUUAUGAAAAGGAGUUUAAAUGGUAAAUCUUUGUGUUUUACAAACAAAAUGUAUUUACAUGAAAGGAUUUUAUAAAUUGUCUUAAAAUCGAAUAAUGAUUUUGAAAAAUAGAGUAAUUGGAGACCACUUGUUAUAUUGUAAUUUAUGAUUUGAAAUCGAAUGGCUUAUGACAAUAUUUGCAUGAAUGGCUGAAUUGAUAUUUGUGUUGAAAUGUAUGAAAUAUGUAUUUAGCCUUGAAAGGUUGUGAAUUAUAAUAAUUGCCAUAUCAUGUUAUUGAAUUUUAUUGUAUGGUGGGUUUAGUUUGCUGCAGUGGGCGAAUUCUGUGGACCAGCCUAUUAGAAGGGCACAGAAUCCGGAUAUAUAUAUGUACCUCGGUCGGAGAGGCACGUAGGGUAUCUUAUGAGGUAUGGAUAGAGUUCACGUCACGCCGAACCACCUCAUGAUAAUGAACUCUGCUAACGCCAAGGAACAGUUGUGUUUUUCUCAAACUAAAAAUAUGUUUUAUGUGUAUACGAAAUUUUAACAGCCUUGCCGGGCUCUAGUGUACGCCUCUGAUCAAGGUGUCGUCGAGUACUAUUUGAUGGCAUGAGCCAAAUGUUUAUGGAAGUCAUAAGCCUUAAUGAGAAAUUAAAUGAAACACAACCGUUUGCAUGGGUUGGGAUAAAUUUUCAAAUUGUGAAAUACUUAAAAAUGAUGGAAUAUUUUAAUUGUCUCAUUUUACUCGGCUUUAGCUGAUUUAAAUGAUGUUUGGUUACUCACUGGGAUUUUAUAAUCUCACCACCCUUCUUUCCACCCAUUUCAGGCUCAGAGUAGGCUGUAGAUAGCUGAUUCCAUUGAGGGAUUCCAUUGGACUUGCUUCCUCCGAAUUGUAGGUUCACCGUUUUCCUCACUUCUAGUCAUUCGUGGGCUUGCUUGAUAUUGUAAAUUAAAUUAAUUUAAAUGCAUUGGUUUACUGUGUCACAGUAUGAAUGAAAUUAUUUUGCUUUUAUGUUACAAAAAGUAUU